rnacentral:misc_RNA from 1 species
GUAGGUGAACCUGCGGAAGGAUCAUUAGCACUAUCCUGGAGGUGGUUUUGGGUCUUUCGGGGCCCUGAGCCGCUCUCUUGAGCACCUGUGAGCAUUUUGGUUUUUUAAUAUUGUUUUGGUGGAGAGGAGGUGGGGUGUGGAUGGAUUGGCGAUUGGGGGCUUUCGGGCUUUUGGUCGUGCGUUCUAUUUCACCUAGCUUUUUUUCUCUCUAUUAUCAACUUUUUCAAACCCCAACAACCUUAAACUUCUUAAAAACAACUUAUAAAGGACUGAACGUGUCCUUCUCCUAACCGAGAGGCACACCUUGAUAUUCUAAACCAAAGAAACAAUUCUUAGCAACGGAUAUCUUGGUUCCC